rnacentral:rRNA from 1 species
UACGUAGGGGGCAAGCGUUGUCCGGAAUCAUUGGGCGUAAAGCGCGUGUAGGCGGCCAGAUAAGUCCGCUGUGAAAUCUCGAGGCUCAACUUCGAGCUGUCGGUGGAAACUGUCUGGCUAGAGUCCGGAAGAGGAGAAUGGAAUUCCUGGUGUAGCGGUGAAAUGCGCAGAUAUCAAGAAGAACACCCGUGGCGAAGGCGGCUCUCUGGGACGGUACUGACGCUGAGACGCGAAAGCGUGGGGAGCGAACAGG